rnacentral:lncRNA from 1 species
UCAGACAUCCAAGGAAGGAUAAAAGCAGCAUGCACUCUCAAGCCUGGCGAAGGCGAAAGCACUUAGGCGGCCACUGCGAAUGUUUUGAGAAACAAGCCUUAAAAUGUAUCAUCAUAGGCAAAAAGAUUAUUUUAACAAAGAAAUAAAACAAAGCAACUUAUCAAAUUAAUCCCAAAAAAAAGUGUACCAUCCGAUAAUGAUCAGCAAAGCAUAAAAUAAAACAAUGCUGACAAAGUGAAGAAUGGAGUUCAAUUAUCAGGGACUUGUUCAUCCCUAAAGCAACUUUACAUUUGCUUAAGGGGCAGACAUUCUAGUCCCAAAUCCCCUGAUUUAUAAAACAAAGAUCCUAAUGUUUCCAAUAAGCUAUAAUCUUUAGCAACACAUAACAUUAAAAAUUCCAAAUUUGACAUCAAAAUGGUAGAUUAAAAGGCAAAAGUUACAAAAUGUAAUACUUGUAAGAUGAAAGUGUAUUGUCUCAGACAUCCAAGGAAGGAUAAAAGCAGCAUGAACUCUCAAGCCAGGCGAAGGCGAAAGCACUUAGGCGGCCACUGAGAAUGUUUUGAGAAACAAGCCUUAAAAUUUAUCAUCAUAGACACCAUAAGAUUAAGAUUCAACAAAAUAAAUCAAUGUACAAUGAUACUACAAACUAGUUAGCUAAUUGUAUAAAUUCUCUGCACAUUCUGCUCUAUAAAAACAAUUUAACAAAACUUGUUUGGACCGCAGCAAACGUUAUUGUUCCAGAUCCCCUGAUAUCAUAAAACAAAUAUCAUAAUAUUCAAAAAAGCUAUACUUUAGCCACAUAAAGCAAUAAAUAUUCCAAAUUCGGCUACAAAAUGACAGUUUCAACAGCACAAGCACCAAAAAAUAACAAAAAGGGCCAAAAUCACUAGUUGAAAAGGCAAAAGUUUUAAUUUUUUUAAAUAAUUAAAGGAGGUUGAAAAGGUGGUGUCUCAAACAUCCAAGGAAGGAUAAAAGCAGCAUUAACUCUCAAGCCUGGCGAAGGCGAAAGCUCUUAGUCGGCCACUGCGAAUGUCUUGAGAAACAAGCCUUCAGAUUUAUCAUCAUAGACACCACUUCAAUUGACAUUCAAUCAAUCAAUCAAUCAAAACACAAUGCACUUAAACUAAUAAAGGUCUAUUAUAAGAAUCGUCAGUCUAGUAAUUUAAUUUUAAAAACAGCAGCUAACAUUCAAAAUAAAUACAAAUAAACAAAGGCAAGAUUCAAGUUUGGAUUAUGAAGGGGGGAUCUCAGACAUCCAAGGAAGGAUAAAAGCAGCAUUUACUCUCAAGCCUGGCGAAGGCGAAAGCACUUAGGCGGCCACUGCGAAUGUUUUGAGAAACAAGCCUUCAAAUUCAUCAUCACCGAUCUCCCCAGUAUGAAAAAAAAAUGAAAAUUUUGAUUCCUUAUCAAUAACCCUAAUAGGAAAAAGUUUUGAUUUUGAAAAUAAAAAAGUUA